GACGAACGCUGGCGGCGUGCUUAACACAUGCAAGUCGAACGGUGAAGGGACCGGUUUUUGCUGGUUCUGGAUGAGUGGCGAACGGGUGAGUAACACGUGAGUAACCUGCCCCCUUCUUCUGGAUAACCGCAUGAAAGUGUGGCUAAUACGGGAUAUUCUGCGCCUGCUGCAUGGUGGGUGUGGGAAAGAUAUUGUUUCGGUGGGGGAUGGGCUCGCGGCCUAUCAGCUUGUUGGUGGGGUGAUGGCCUACCAAGGCGGUGACGGGUAGCCGGCCUGAGAGGGUGGACGGUCACACUGGGACUGGGACACGGCCCAGACUCCUACGGGAGGCAGCAGUGGGGAAUAUUGCACAAUGGGCGCAAGCCUGAUGCAGCGACGCCGCGUGAGGGAUGGAGGCCUUCGGGUUGUAAACCUCUUUCGCCAGUGAAGCAGGCCUGUCCCUUUUGUGGGUGGGUUGACGGUAGCUGGAUAAGAAGCGCCGGCUAACUACGUG
rnacentral:rRNA from 1 species